GGUUUUUACCCAGUUAACCAAGGUUAGCAUUAAAUUUCGACCUUUCGCAAGAACGCGUUGAAAUGCAAAUCAAUUUUUGGAACCGCUUCUUCGGGGAAUCCGUUGAGGCAAA
ensembl:snRNA sls-2.14 ncRNA